GAGGUACUGAUGCAUGCUACAGCAUGGAUGAACCUUGAAAACAUUAUGCUGCAUGAAAGAAGAUAUUUGACCCUGAGGCCAGUUCAUGGUCUCUAUCCCGCACCCACUUGAUUGAAGCCCCCAUCCAGUCCAGCAGCAGAAGUGGACGGAACUGAGUGAUUGACUACCUCCAUAAGACUCAGCUCAAGAAGAGGAGGGACACUGGGCAGCGCAGGGAGAGGAAGAAACAAAAGAGUUUAAAUGGACCAAGGAAAGGAGGCAGGAGAGAGGAGACAGAAAGAGCCGGACGAGGAGAGAUGGCUCCCUGCCCUUGCUUCCUCUGGGAGUGGACCAUGUGGCCGCUGGGCAUGUUGACACUGAGUCCUGAUGCAAGUUAAAGGAACUGUGUGGGAACUGAGAGCCAAGAUAAGUCCUCCAGACAGAAAUCAGCUAAAAAGCUAUGGACUGAACACUGCCACUGCAGGGGAUUCUGAGCCCCAGCUGUUCAACAGAGGAUGGUGCAUGGCUUUGCUCAUCGGCCUAAUUUAGAUGACAGAUGAUUGACCAAAAUGAGCCAUCAGAGGAUAAUGAAGACUGCUUUUUUAACAGCAAAGCCAAUUUGAUUUGUUAAUUGACGUGGCGCCAGCAGGCGGGAUCUCAAUUCCCCGACCAGGGAUCAAACCCGAGCGCCCUGCAGUGGAAGUGCGGAGUCUUAACUCCUGGACCGCCAGGGAAGUACCGAUGCUCCUAUAUCUUAA